AUUGAACGCUGGCGGCAUGCCUUACACAUGCAAGUCGAACGGCAGCACGGGUGCUUGCACCUGGUGGCGAGUGGCGAACGGGUGAGUAAUACAUCGGAACAUGUCCUGUAGUGGGGGAUAGCCCGGCGAAAGCCGGAUUAAUACCGCAUACGAUCUACGGAUGAAAGCGGGGGACCUUCGGGCCUCGCGCUUUCGGGUUGGCCGAUGGCGGAUUAGCUAGUUGGUGGGGUAAAGGCCUACCAAGGCGACGAUCAGUAGCUGGUCUGAGAGGACGACCAGCCACACUGGAACUGAGACACGGCCCAGACUCCUACGGGAGGCAGCAGUGGGGAAUUUUGGACAAUGGGCGAAAGCCUGAUCCAGCAAUGCCGCGUGUGUGAAGAAGGCCUUCGGGUUGUAAAGCACUUUUGUCCGGAAAGAAAACCUUGGCCCUAAUACGGUCGGGGGAUGACGGUACCGGAAGAAUAAGCACCGGCUAACUACGUG
rnacentral:rRNA from 1 species